rnacentral:rRNA from 1 species
UUCCGGUUGAUCCUGCCAGACCUGACUGCUAUCGGAUUGAUACUAAGCCAUGCGAGUCAUUGCAGCAAUACAAGGCAGACGGCUCAGUAACGCGUAGUCAACCUAACCUAUGGACGGGAAUAACCUCGGGAAACUGAGAAUAAUGCCCGAUAGAACACUAUACCUGGAAUGGUUUGUGUUCCAAAUGAUUUAUCGCCGUAGGAUGGGACUGCGGCCUAUCAGUUUGUUGGUGAGGUAAUGGCCCACCAAGACUAUUACAGGUACGGGCUCUGAGAGGAGUAGCCCGGAGAUGGGUACUGAGACACGGACCCAGGCCCUAUGGGGCGCAGCAGGCGAGAAAACUUUGCAAUGUGCGAAAGCACGACAAGGUUAAUCCGAGUGGUUUCUGCUAAAGGAACCUUUUGUUAGUCCUAGAAACACUAACGAAUAAGGGGUGGGCAAGUUCUGGUGUCAGCCGCCGCGGUAAAACCAGCACCUCAAGUGGUCAGGAUGAUUAUUGGGCCUAAAGCAUCCGUAGCCGGCUCUGUAAGUUUUCGGUUAAAUCUGUACGCUCAACGUACAGGCUGCCGGGAAUA